UUAAAUCUUUCUCAAUUUAUAAACAAUUGGGAGAUUCCAAAAAAAAUCAAAUUUAUCAUUCGCGCUCUCAUCAUUAUGAACGCCUUCAAAUCCUGAUUUCAAAUAAAUGGGGAAAAUCAUCUCUUUUCAAUAUAUGCGGAACUCGGAUCCUUCUCAGAAAUCAAAGCCCAAGAUUUCAAGUGCAUAAAUAUCUUAAACGUAUUAAGUCCAUUUGAAUUAUUGUUCUCAACUUAAGAGAAAGCGGUUAAGGUAAUUUUUUUUUCCCAAUUUUCUGAACACAUAAUCACAAUUAUUAUUAUUGUUAUUGUUUGCAAGAUUGUUUAACUUUGUUCCUUCCUUUUUUCUUUUUUUUUGGUAUUUUUCUCAACAGAUAAUCGACAUUAUUAUUCUUCUUAUUCUUCUUGUUUAGGAAUUGCAUAUUCUUGUUAAUAUUAUUUCGAAGUUGACUCUUAAUUGAGGCAGCCGCAAAACUAGUGUUAUUUCUCGUAGAAGAAAGUACAUUAUUUAUAGACUUUUACUACUCCCUUUUUCUUAACUUCGAUGCUUCAUUGAUAGAGUUGAGUUGGAUUAGACUAAAACAUUAACGGGGUGAAUAAAAUCUUAGUUUAUAUUGCACAGGGGUUCAAAUAUAAUUAAAUUUCGAGUAUGAUUUAAUCUGUCGAAUCCACAUCGAGGAGAAAUUGCUAAUUGGAUUUUACACCGUAAACACCGAGGUGGCUUUUGUUUCUUGACGCAGAAUGCUUUUUACUUGUUCUAUUUAGAUUUGCAGUUGCAGUUAUAUAUUAUUUGUAUGGUUAAUCGGGUUUGGUUAUCCUCGUGACGAUCGGAAUCUGGCCUAUUGGCUUCUUUUGGCUCCCCACUGAGGCUUUUUAAUGUGUCUCAUUUCAGCUUGAUUUCUUUUUUUUUUUUUAUAUUAAAUCAUCUGGUAUCCGAGGAUCAUAUUGAACUUCAACUAAUCCAGAUAUAUUAAAUCAUCUGGUAUCCGAGGAUCAUUAAAUCAUCUGGUAUCCGAGGAUCAUAUUGAACUUCAACUAAUCCAGAUUCGAGCUGCGUAGGACCAUUAAGGCGGCAAAACUCUCCAAACAAGUAUUUAACGCAGUUGCAUUCUCAAGUCUCAAAUCAAAUAUCUUAAUUAAGUUAGAACAUCAUCAUACCAGCUGAUCUAUGUGCUUGUUAGUGCUGUUGAAAAGUCAAGCAUGCAAUUGUUGAGUA
rnacentral:lncRNA from 1 species